AAAAAAAAAAAAAAUUUGUCUUGGGUUCUCUAGGCAAAAUUUUAAAGUAAGUAAAAUUUUCCGAAUCGCUCGCGGUUUCCAAAUCUAUAUUUUUUGGCCGUCCCAUAUUUUUUUAUAAACAAAGCAGCCGCAAAGCCCGACGCUGCGUGGGCCCCGUCUCUAGGGCGGCUCCGUUGUCAAACAUUGCAAGUGUAACCCAAACCCUCAAAUUUGAGUAUUACUAAAAGGCAUCCACUUGGACGCCUCCCUAGUA
rnacentral:rRNA from 1 species